UACGGAGGGUGCAAGCGUUAAUCGGAAUUACUGGGCGUAAAGCGUGCGUAGGUGGUUCGUUAAGUCCGUUGUGAAAGCCCCGAGCUCAACUUGGGAAUUGCAGUGGAUACUGGCGAGCUGGAGUGCGGUAGAGGAAGGUGGAAUUCCCGGUGUAGCGGUGAAAUGCGUAGAGAUCGGGAUGAACACCAGUGGCGAAGGCGGCCUUCUGGACCAGCACUGACACUCAAGCACGAAAGCGUGGGGAGCAAACAGG
rnacentral:rRNA from 1 species